rnacentral:rRNA from 1 species
UACAGAGGGUGCAAGCGUGUUCGGAAUUAUUGGGCGUAAAGCGCGUGUAGGCGGCUUUGCAAGUCGGGUGUGAAAGCCCUCAGCUCAACUGAGGAAGUGCGCCCGAAACUGCAGAGCUUGAGUACCGGAGAGGAUGGCGGAAUUCCGGGUGUAGCGGUGGAAUGCGUAGAGAUCCGGAAGAACACCGGUGGCGAAGGCGGGUUGCUGGGCCAACACUGACGCUGAGACGCGAAAGCUAGGGGAGCAAACGGGG